rnacentral:snRNA from 1 species
GUGCUGGCUUGGGCAGCACAUAUACUAAAAUUGGAACAAUACAGAGAAGAUUAGCAUGAACGCUGCUGAAGGAUGACACACAAAUAGUUAUACUCUCUG